AUCCGUCGACUUUAGAA
rnacentral:tRNA from 1 species